AACGAACGCUGGCGGCAUGCCUAACACAUGCAAGUCGAACGAGACCUUCGGGUCUAGUGGCGCACGGGUGCGUAACGCGUGGGAACCUGCCCUUAGGUUCGGAAUAACUCCCCGAAAGGGGUGCUAAUACCGGAUAACGUCUUCGGACCAAAGAUUUAUCGCCUUUGGAUGGGCCCGCGUUGGAUUAGCUAGUUGGUAGGGUAAAAGCCUACCAAGGCGACGAUCCAUAGCUGGUCUGAGAGGAUGAUCAGCCACACUGGGACUGAGACACGGCCCAGACUCCUACGGGAGGCAGCAGUGGGGAAUAUUGGACAAUGGGCGAAAGCCUGAUCCAGCAAUGCCGCGUGAGUGAUGAAGGCCUUAGGGUUGUAAAGCCCUUUUACCCGGGAUGAUAAUGACAGUACCGGGAGAAUAAGCUCCGGCUAACUCCGUG
rnacentral:rRNA from 1 species